AGGCCUUAGAGCGGCCUGAUUUCUAAACGGCGCUGUGGCUAGUGUUCGCCAUUCUUUUCUAAAGUGGCUAUCAGGUUUUUUUUUAAUUCUGUUUAUUUUGUUUUAUAAUUAAUUUGCGACAACACCGUUUAAAGCAUGUGUCAAUGGCUUCAAAACGAUAUCCUGUUGGCCAUACCCGACUGGCCCGACCCAAAUGCGGCUAGGUCCGCGAGUUUUGGUAUUGGAGGGGAUAUUUGCGCGCCAAGUCCCUUCGCUUUUGUGUCGUGGUUUAAUCUGGUCCCUUUUGUUUCUUUAUUUUUGGCCGCAUAAUUUCCUGUUAGUUUCAUUUUCGUCUAUGAUGAAGCGUUGCGUUUUGGGGCAGGGGAUAUUUUCCCAUUUAGUCCCCCAUGUUAUUCGGACGCUCCAUUUUGGCCUUCAAUUUUAUUUUAUUUUCAUUUUUUUCUUUUUAAUUUCGAAUUAAAUACAAUUUAAUCCAUACUUGUUUAAUUUAAUGUACUCGAGUUUUAUUUUCUUUAAAAUUCAUUAUUCUGUUUUUUAAAAUAUAUAUAUAUAUUGAAUUUUAAAUCUAGCAUUAUUUUUAUGUUUAAGCUUAAUAUAUUUUUAAAUUUAUCAUCAAUAUUAUUUUAAUUUAUAAUAUAUUAUUAUUUUAAGUUUAUCAAUAACAUUAUUUUAAGUUUAUCAUGUAUUUUUAUUUAAAGUUAUCAUGUAUUAUUAUUUUGAACUUAUCAUCUAUGAUUAUUUAAAUUUAUCAUGUAUUAUUUUAUGCAUUCUUGUUGUAAAUUCUAUAUAAUUUGCAUUUAUUCUUUAACGUUUUAUUUUAAUUAUAAAAUCCUCUUUAUAUAUAUUGCUCCGUUUUAAAGUUUAUAUAAUAACACUCUCGUAUAAUACUAUUUUAUAUAGACAUAGUUUAUAUAUUUUUAUUUUAUAUAUAUUAUUGCUUUCAUAUUAUUGCUUUUUAUUUAUUUCUAUAUAUAUAAUUUAUUUCUUUUAAAAAACUUAUUUUAUUAUAUUUUACUUAUUUCAACUUUUUACCUAUAUUAUUAUAUAUAUAUUAUUAUCUAUAUUGAGUUUUUGAUUCUAUAUAUUACUUAUUAGAUAAAUAUAUGUAUAUUAUUUUGUGUACUACUUAUUUUGAUUUUCUUUUUAUACAAUAUUUAUUUUAAGAUUCAUUUAGAUAUUAUCAUUUCACAUGGUAUUUAUUUUUAUCUUCAUUUUUAAUCUACUUCAAACUUUCUUAUAUAUAUUAUUUAUUUUAAAAUUUUUAUAUAUACAAUUUAUUGAUUAUACUUGCCUUUCUUUCACGCUAUUCAUUUUUUUAGUUAUUUUAAAACUUGUAUAUUUUGUUUGUGUUUGUGUUAAUUUGCUUGGUGUUUUUUUAAUUAGCUUUUUCACUAGCUUUCAAAUAUUAAUGUUAGUAUUUAUAAAAUAUGUGAUGUGAGAUUAUUGCCCUUAUGUGUAUUGUAUUGCUUAUUUGUACUUAUCGAUUAUUUGUCAUCCAUUAGAGUACAUUUUGGUUUACGAAUUAUCACUUCGUAUUGUAUAUUAUCAUUUUGAUCACGCUUUAUUUGCUCAAAAAUUACGUUUAAUAUGGCUUAAGUUUUGAAAUCAUUUUUAUCCAAAAGCUUCCAAGAUAGUGUAAUACUCGGUGUUUGAGAUUUUCGAAAAGAACGUACCGUAACUUACGGGGUCUCGAUUUUUCGAUAAUUUCAAAUAUACGAACUUUUUUUAAAAUAAAAAACGCAUUUUCUUAAAACUAUCUUAAGAAUCAGAAAAGGACUGUGUUCCAAUUUACAAGAUAUGAUUUCUUUUCCGAAACUGAGAUAAUCAAAAUUUCUAAAAAUAAAUAAAUUUUUUGGUGUUUAUUCUCGUUUCGUGAUUUACGAUAUUGUGUCCUAACUCACGAGAUAUAAUUCUUUUUCUCGAUUAACAAGAAGAGCACAUUUCCUUCAAUUUUUAAGUGAUUUUAAAAGGAUCAAAUUUUUAAAUUUAUUUCCGAAUUUUUAAUUUUUCGACAUUAAGACAUUAAUUAAUUGAUUAGUUACCAAUUUUGGGCAUGACGAGGGUGCAGAUCCUUCCUCGCAUGUAAUUGACUCCCGAACCCAUUUUUCUUGAAUUUCAUAGACCAAAAUUAUUGUUUUAAUAAAAUCAAAACAUUUUCUCAAAAUAAUUGAAUUGUAAGGUGAUCUGAUCACACUUUAAAAAAUGUCGGUGGCAACUCCCUUUUUUAUUUUCAAAAUAAAAGUCGACUCCAUUUUUGUUUUUAAAAAGUCGUUUCGACAGCUUGGCGACUCCACUGGGGACUGGUUUUGAGAGUCGAGCCACAAAUUGAUUAAUUUCUGUCGUUUUGUCGAAAGUUGAAAAUUCAAUUUAAAUUUAUGAUUCUUUCAUUGCAUUUUUAUAAUCUGCAUCACUAUGGUACGUUUGCUUUGUUGGUUCAAGUUUUUAAAUAACUGCAUAUUGCACUGCAUAAUUGUUCGAUUACACCCUCUUAACUGGGAGUGAGAAACUAGUCCUUCGUGAGGUUUUCACCUCUGUAUAGGAUAGUGGAUCACUUUCAUGAUACAUCCGUGCCUAUGCCUUCGUAAUAUUUUCAUCUCUGUAUAGUCAUAGGGAAAUGUAUUCCCCUGAACUGAACUCGACCUGUAUGAACCUAUAAUGGGUGAGGAUUGAGGAAUUUGCUAGUUCAGGUACCAUUUUCUUUAGAGCCGAACCACAUGUAAUAAGCCCUAAGAGCCUACCUUAGGUAGAACCACUCCAAAUCCCUAGUGGUCACCCAAAUAGGUGCUCUACUUAUUUUGCUUACUUUUGCUUGGUACUAACCUGUUUCGUUUUGUUUUGGUUAUGAUUGCAUUGCAUUUUCAUCAUAGGAAAGAGGUGUUGAUUCACGUUCAGUUGCUAAAUAGAGAGCUUGUCAUGGAAAAUAGAUUUCUUGAUAAAGUGGAAGAUAAUACGGCUGUCUGAAUAUAUUUCGAGAAAACAUGACAAGAGAAGGGUGAUAGUCUAAUGGAGGACUACAUGACUUAGCUUCGUUGCCUGAGGAUUCAAGUUGUCAAAAAUUAUUCGAGACUCGUCAACGUCCCGAUCUUUUUAAAGAAGGUAACGAGCAUCACGAGGAUGAGUGAGCAAUAAGUCGCGGCCCAGAUCAAGCAAAAAUGAGCUAGUAGAGGCAUCCAAUGGAAAAUUCACGAGAUUUAUCUUAACAUCCAAAUGAAGAAAAUGGUCGAUGUAUUCGCUUGGAGUAUGAGGGCAAAGCCACAUAUAUAUCUGCUUUAUGUAAAGAGAUCUAUUUUCU
rnacentral:lncRNA from 1 species